rnacentral:rRNA from 1 species
GACGAACGCUGGCGGCGUGCUUAACACAUGCAAGUCGAACGGAAAGGCCCUGCUUUUGUGGGGUGCUCGAGUGGCGAACGGGUGAGUAACACGUGAGUAACCUGCCCUUGACUUUGGGAUAACUUCAGGAAACUGGGGCUAAUACCGGAUAGGAGCUCCUGCUGCAUGGUGGGGGUUGGAAAGUUUCGGCGGUUGGGGAUGGACUCGCGGCUUAUCAGCUUGUUGGUGGGGUAGUGGCUUACCAAGGCUUUGACGGGUAGCCGGCCUGAGAGGGUGACCGGCCACAUUGGGACUGAGAUACGGCCCAGACUCCUACGGGGGGCAGCAGUGGGGAAUAUUGCACAAUGGGCGGAAGCCUGAUGCAGCAACGCCGCGUGCGGGAUGACGGCCUUCGGGGUGUAAACCGCUUUCGCCUGUGACGAAGCGUGAGUGACGGUAAUGGGUAAAGAAGCACCGGCUAACUACGUG